rnacentral:tRNA from 1 species
GCUGCUGUGGUGAAAUAGGUAUACACAAAGCUUUCAAAAAGCUUCGACUUCAUGUCUUAUCGGUUCGAGUCCGAUCAGCAGCA